AAGCCUGAACCACUUAAAGGAGAUAGAUCACCAAGUGAAAAGGUGUGAAAGUGCUUCCCAGACAGUGGGGGAGAAAAUGUAAAGGCACUGAGACCCAAGAAAGCUGGUUAUACAUGCGUUGAAUAUGACUGCAAUAAGGAAUGGGAUCAGAGAAGGCAAUGGCACCCCACUCCAGUACUCUUGCCUGGAAAAUCCCAUGGACAGAGGAACCUGGAUAAUGGUGGCUUUGUAGAAUGAAUUGGGAGAUACUCCAUCUUCUCAGUUUUUAGGAAUAGUUUGAGAAGUUUGGAUAUAAGCUAUUCUUUUUAUGCUUGGAAAAUUCUGCUAUGAAGCUGUGUGGACCUGAAUUUUAUUUUGCUAAAAGAUCAAAUUGC